rnacentral:rRNA from 1 species
UAUUGCGCAAUGGGGGAAACCCUGACGCAGCAACGCCGCGUGCAGGAAGAAGGUCUUCGGAUUGUAAACUGUUGUCGCAAGGGAAGAAGAAAGUGACGGUACCUUGUGAGAAAGUCACGGCUAACUACGUGCCAGCAGCCGCGGUAAUACGUAGGUGGCGAGCGUUAUCCGGAAUUAUUGGGCGUAAAGCGCGCGCAGGUGGUUUCUUAAGUCUGAUGUGAAAGCCUACGGCUUAACCGUAGAAUUGCAUUGGAAACUGGGGGACUUGAGUGCAGAAGAGGAAAGUGGAAUUCCACGUGUAGCGGUGAAAUGCGUAGAGAUGUGGAGGAACACCGGUGGCGAAGGCGACUUUCUGGUCUGCAACUGACACUGAGGCGCGAAAGCGUGGGGAGCAA